AUGGCUUUAUUACAAAAAGUUAUGUCACAUUAACUAGGUUGUAUUUCAACAGGCAAACACAAGACACUGUGUAAUAGGUUCAGCUGCUCAGUGAUGUGGUGAUGAUAUCUCCUGUCUUAUUAUGGCUGCUUGGAUGCUCCAAAGAUCACUUUAAAGGAGAUAUCAACAAGUCCAGUUAUCUUCCAGCAAAAUGAUGGCCAUAACUGGUAGAGCUUUCCUGAGAAGUGAGAAGAGGAGGUAUCUUCUGCCUCUGGACAAAACAUCUGUGCUUUUCAAUGCUUGCAUAGCAUGA
rnacentral:lncRNA from 1 species